GCGUAUGUCUCUGGAACUGAUGGAGGGGUGUUGUGGUAGAUAAUCAUCUUCUAGGUCCAUUAUUGUCUUCUGGUCAAUUGGAGCAGGGAUGUAAGAUAGAAUCUGCGGGAUGGCAUGAAAUGCCACCAAUUGAAGAGACAAAGGGAAUCCUUGCAGCCUGAAAGUGUGCUGCUUGAGCCUACGAACCAGUGUACCAACAGGAUCAUCACUAGGCCUGGGACUUCAUAUAUUCGGGUCAGAUUCGGUUAAAACCCGAUCGGGUCCGGGUCUUUCGGAUAAAUAAUUUAUAUAUCCAAUGGGUACUUAGAAGAUUUCGGUUCGGGUAGCACCAGUUUCGGGUCGGUUCCGAGUACCUUGUGUAAAACCCGAAUUGUAAAUAUAUUUAUAUACUUUGACUGUAUUUUACAAUUGGUUAAAGUUUCCCAGCGGCCGAGUAAGUUUGAAACGUAGUUGUCCACCCGGGUUUGAACACUAUAGGUGUCUUUUUUUUUUCUUUUUUCUUUAAUGAAUGGCAAUUUUGUAAAUUUCUUCAUCUUCUUCCUCGUGUCUCCCUUUUCUAAGCUCUAAUCUGCAGCCUCUUUUCAUGUUUCAGACUUAUAAACAUCAUUUUGAUACAUGUUUUUUUGCCAUUUACACAUAAAACAUCAAGAUUUGACAUAUAAUCACAGGAUAUAAACUUGGAAAGCGAAAAAGUUAUCUAUGAUUCAUGUUCUUGCACAGAGAAUUCGGAUUAAUCGGUUAUCCGAGCCGUUCCGGGUAUUAACCGAACCCGAUCCGAUACCCAUGGAUAUUCAUAUCUUUACCGAUUGGUUAAAUUCCUUAGAUCCGACAUCAAACCGAACCGGUCCACUUCGGGUCAGAUCUGGUUUGGAUAUUCGGUUUCGGGUUAAAGUUGCUGCCUAAUCAUCACACUUCUUAGGAACAUACUUUGGUGGUUUCAUGCAAGCUAUGGUUUUAAGGAAUGGCUCUCUCCCCCAAGGAGAAGCAAAGAAGCACCUGAGAUCUUCAACCAUCUUAACAUAUCGAGGAGUGGGAUGUGGUUCUUGUUUGUGACCAAUAAGCACGCUGUCCACUUUGAUAACUAAAGCAAUGCAUAUCUU
rnacentral:lncRNA from 1 species